rnacentral:rRNA from 1 species
CAAGGUUGGGGAUAACAUUUGGAAACAGAUGCUAAUACGGAAUAAAAAUUAGUGUCGCAUGACACAAAGUUAAAAGGCGGUUGGGGGUCACAUAGAGAUGGAUCCGCGGUUCAUUAGUUAGUCGGUGGGGUAAAGGCCUACCAAGACAAUGAUGCAUAGCCGAGUUGAGAGAUUGAUCGGCCACAUUGGGACUGAGACACGGCCCAAACUCUUAUCGGGAGGCUGCAGUAGGGAAUCUUCCACAAUGGGCGAAAGCCUGAUGGAGCAACGCCGCGUGUGUGAUGAAGGCUUUCGGGUCGUAAAGCACUGUUGUAUGGGAAGAACAGCUAGAAUAGGAAAUGAUUUUAGUUUGACGGUACCAUACCAGAAAGGGAGGGCUAAAUACGUGCCAGCAGCCGCGGUAAUACGUAUGUCCCGAGCGUUAUCCGGAUUUAUUGGGCGUAAAGCGAGCGCAGACGGUUUAUUAAGUCUGAUGUGAAAGCCCGGAGCUCAACUCCGGAAUGGCAUUGGAAACU